AGUGGCGAACGGGUGAGUAACACGUGAGUAACCUGCCCUUAACUCUGGGAUAAGCCUGGGAAACCGGGUCUAAUACCGGAUAUUUACCCUCCACCGCAUGGUGUGGGGGUGGAAAGCCUUGUGCGGUUUUGGAUGGACUCGCGGCCUAUCAGCUUGUUGGUGAGGUAAUGGCUCACCAAGGCGACGACGGGUAGCCGGCCUGAGAGGGUGACCGGCCACACUGGGACUGAGACACGGCCCAGACUCCUACGGGAGGCAGCAGUGGGGAAUAUUGCACAAUGGGCGAAAGCCUGAUGCAGCGACGCCGCGUGAGGGAUGACGGCCUUCGGGUUGUAAACCUCUUUCAGUAGGGAAGAAGCGAAAGUGACGGUACCUGCAGAAGAAGCGCCGGCUAACUACGUGCCAGCAGCCGCGGUAAUACGUAGGGCGCAAGCGUUAUCCGGAAUUAUUGGGCGUAAAGAGCUCGUAGGCGGUUUGUCGCGUCUGCCGUGAAAGUCCGGGGCUCAACCCCGGAUCUGCGGUGGGUACGGGCAGACUAGAGUGAUGUAGGGGAGACUGGAAUUCCUGGUGUAGCGGUGAAAUGCGCAGAUAUCAGGAGGAACACCGAUGGCGAAGGCAGGUCUCUGGGCAUUAACUGACGCUGAGGAGCG
rnacentral:rRNA from 1 species